rnacentral:sRNA from 1 species
AUAAUAUGUAAAAUUAAAUAAUAAAUAUAUCAUUAACCUAUAAAUUAGAAGUUGAAGAGCUUUUAUUAAUUAUUUAAUAGACACAUGGCAAAUACUAAAGUGAUGAUGUGUCAAUCAUAUGGAGAGAGUUGGCCAACUUUCAUAUAUAUGAUUUGGCAAAAGAUCUCAAAAUCUAGAUUCUCUAUUUUUGUAGGGAAACAAUUUUUUUCAUAAUCUUCAAAGGGUUUAAAAAGCAAUUUUGGAAGAAUUAAAACCACUUUGAAAACCACAACUAUUCAAAACCAUAAUUUCCUUGGAAAAAUAAAGAUUUUCAUAAAAACCUCAAAAC